GUACUACUGAGGAGUCCCACAAUUGGACGAAACCGCCGUACUGUAC
rfam:Schistosoma curassoni strain Dakar, Senegal genome assembly, scaffold: SCTD_scaffold0000059